GACGAACGCUGGCGGCGUGCUUAACACAUGCAAGUCGAACGCAGUGGCGGACGGGUGAGUAAUGCUUGGGAAUCUAGCUUAUGGAGGGGGAUAACUACGGGAAACUGUAGCUAAUACCGCGUAUAGGAUGAGCCCAAGUGGGAUUAGGUAGUUGGUGAGGUAAAGGCCCACCAAGCCGACGAUCGCUAGCUGGUCUGAGAGGAUGACCCGCCAAACUGGGACUGAGACACGGCCCCGAAUCCUACGGGAGGCAGGAGGUGGGAAUCUUCCGCAAUGGACGAAAGGCUGACGGAGCAACGCCGGGUGAGGGAUGGCGGCCUUCGGGUUGUAAAGCUCUGUUAAUCGGGACGCGGUACCGGAAUAGAAAGCCACGGCUAACUACGUGCCAGCAGCCGCGGUAAUUC
rnacentral:rRNA from 1 species